GUGUGACCAAAAUCUUUCUUUCUCAUAGGAAAAAGGGAUAAAUCUGACUCACAUUGAAUCUCGACCUUCUCGUCUCAAUAAAGAUGAGUAUGAAUUCUUCAUUAACUUGGAAGGCAAUAAUGUUCCAGCAUUGGACAAGAUCAUCAAGUCCUUAAGAAAUGAUAUUGGAGUAACAGUGCAUGAACUUUCACGGACAAAAAAGAAGGACACUGUGCCAUGGUUCCCAAGAAGCAUUCAGGAGCUGGACAGAUUUGCCAAUCAAAUCCUAAGUUAUGGAGCAGAGCUGGAUGCUGACCAUCCUGGAUUCAAAGAUCCUGUGUACCGGGCCCGGAGGAAGGAGUUUGCAGACAUUGCCUACAACUACAGACAUGGUCAACCUAUUCCUCGAGUUACCUAUACAGAAGAA